UCCGGUGGCCAUAGCGGAGGGGACCCACCCGUUCCCAUUCCGAACACGGCCGUUAAGCCCUCCAGCGCCAAUGGUACUGGGCCACCUCGGCCCGGGAGAGUAGGUCGCCGCCGGAA
rnacentral:rRNA from 1 species